rnacentral:rRNA from 1 species
UACGUAGGGUGCAAGCGUUAAUCGGAAUUACUGGGCGUAAAGCGUGCGCAGGCGGUUGCACAAGACAGAGGUGAAAUCCCCGGGCUCAACCUGGGAACUGCCUUUGUGACUGUGCGGCUAGAGUGUGUCAGAGGGGGGUAGAAUUCCACGUGUAGCAGUGAAAUGCGUAGAGAUGUGGAGGAAUACCGAUGGCGAAGGCAGCCCCCUGGGAUAACACUGACGCUCAUGCACGAAAGCGUGGGGAGCAAACAGG